AUUGAACGCUGGCGGCAGGCCUAACACAUGCAAGUCGAGCGGAUGAAGGGAGCUUGCUCCUGGAUUCAGCGGCGGACGGGUGAGUAAUGCCUAGGAAUCUGCCUGGUAGUGGGGGAUAACGUCCGGAAACGGGCGCUAAUACCGCAUACGUCCUGAGGGAGAAAGGGGGGGAUCUUCGGACCUCACGCUAUCAGGUGAGCCUAGGCCGGAUUAGCUAGUUGGUGGGGUAAAGGCCUACCAAGGCGACGAUCCGUAACUGGUCUGAGAGGAUGAUCAGUCACACUGGAACUGAGACACGGUCCAGACUCCUACGGGAGGCAGCAGUGGGGAAUAUUGGACAAUGGGCGAAAGCCUGAUCCAGCCAUGCCGCGUGUGUGAAGAAGGUCUUCGGAUUGUAAAGCACUUUAAGUUGGGAGGAAGGGCAGUAAGUUAAUACCUUGCUGUUUUGACGUUACCAACAGAAUAAGCACCGGCUAACUUCGUG
rnacentral:rRNA from 1 species